AAGUCGUAACAAGGUCUCCGUUGGUGAAUCAGCGGAGGGAUCAUUACUGAGUACUACACUCUCUACCCUUUGUGAACUAUUAUACCUGUUGCUUCGGCGGCGCCCGCAAGGGUGCCCGCCGGUCUCAUCAGAAUCUCUGUUUUCGAGCCCGACGAUACUUCUGAGUGUUCUUAGCGAACUGUCAAAACUUUUAACAACGGAUCUCUUGGCUCCAGUAUCGAUGAAGAACGCAGCGAAACGCGAUAUGUAAUGUGAAUUGCAGAAUUCAGUGAAUCAUCGAAUCUUUGAACGCACAUGGCGCCUUCCAGUAUCCUGGGAGGCAUGCCUGUCCGAGCGUCGUUUCAACCCUCAAGCACUGCUUGGUAUUGGGCCCCGCUGGUUUCAGCGGGCCUUAAAAUCAGUGGCAGCGCCGUCUGAGCUCUGAGCGUAGUAAAUAUCCUCGCUAUAGAGACCAGGUGGUUCUUGUCAUCAACCCCCAACUUUCUAAGUUUGACCUCGGAUCAGGUAGGGAUACCCGCUGAACUUAA
rnacentral:rRNA from 1 species